rnacentral:tRNA from 1 species
GUUAUUUUGGCAGAAUAGUGCGUUAGAUUUAGGAUCUUAUCAUGUAAUGAUUUACAUUUAACA